AACGAACGCUGGCGGCAUGCCUAACACAUGCAAGUCGAACGAGACCUUCGGGUCUAGUGGCGCACGGGUGCGUAACGCGUGGGAACCUGCCCUUAGGUUCGGAAUAACUCCCCGAAAGGGGUGCUAAUACCGGAUAAUGUCUUCGGACCAAAGAUUUAUCGCCUUUGGAUGGGCCCGCGUUGGAUUAGCUAGUUGGUAGGGUAAAAGCCUACCAAGGCGACGAUCCAUAGCUGGUCUGAGAGGAUGAUCAGCCACACUGGGACUGAGAAACGGCCCAGACUCCUACGGGAGGCGGCAGUGGGGAAUAUUGGACAAUGGGCGAAAGCCUGAUCCAGCAAUGCCGCGUAAGUGAUGAAGGCCUUAGGGUUGUAAAGCUCUUUUAACCGGGAUGAUAAUGACAGUACCGGGAGAAUAAGCUCCGGCUAACUACGUG
rnacentral:rRNA from 1 species